CAGCAGCCGCGGGAAUACGUAGGGUGCGAGCGUUAAUCGGAAUUACUGGGCGUAAAGCGUGCGCAGGCGGUUCGUUAAGACAGAUGUGAAAUCCCCGGGCUUAACCUGGGAACUGCAUUUGUGACUGGCGAGCUAGAGUAUGGCAGAGGGAGGUAGAAUUCCACGUGUAGCAGUGAAAUGCGUAGAGAUGUGGAGGAAUACCGAUGGCGAAGGCAGCCCCCUGGGCCAAUACUGACGCUCAUGCACGAAAGCGUGGGGAGCAAACAGGAUUAGAUACCCCUGUAGUCCCUGUCUCUUAUAC
rnacentral:rRNA from 1 species